UACGUAGGUGACAAGCGUUGUCCGGAUUUACUGGGCGUAAAGAGCGCGCAGGCGGUCGUUCAAGUCGAGUGUGAAAGCCCCCGGCUCAACUGGGGAGGGUCAUUCGAUACUGAUCGACUCGAAGGCAGGAGAGGGUAGUGGAAUUCCCGGUGUAGUGGUGAAAUGCGUAGAUAUCUGGAGGAACACCGGUGGCGAAGGCGGCAUCCUGGACCGGCAUUGACGCUGAACAGCGAAAGCCAGGGGAGCAAACGGG
rnacentral:rRNA from 1 species